GGGCGCGUAGCUCAGCGGGAGAGCACCUCGUUCACACCGAGGGGGUCACUGGUUCGAUCCCAGUCGUGCCCA
rnacentral:tRNA from 1 species